rfam:Gossypium arboreum cultivar AKA8401 contig_22292_1, whole genome shotgun sequence.
UGUUAAAAUUUACAUUCAUUUCUACUAUUAAAAGUUUGUGUGGUUGAUAGAAUAACCAAACAGUUAUACUUGGAUCGCCACAUGUACUUCAUGUUGACAUAUAAUGAUUAAUUUUUAACAAUAGAAAUGGAUGUAAUAUUCAACA